rnacentral:rRNA from 1 species
ACGUGAUCUGAGUUCAGACCGGAGUAAUCCAGGUCAGUUUCUAUCUAUAUUAGGGCUUAUUCUAGUACGAAAGGACCGAAAAAGCAUGGCCCAUGUUUUUGAUAAGCCAUUACUGAUAAUUAAUGAUUUAAACUUAAUUAAUAGUCAACCUGAUUCUUUUUCCCAAGACAAGGGA